rnacentral:rRNA from 1 species
GGCAGCACGGGGGCAACCCUGGUGGCGAGUGGCGAACGGGUGAGUACAUCAUCGGAACGUGUCCUCUUGUGGGGGAUAACCAGUCGAAAGGCUGGCUAAUACCGCAUGAGCCUGAGAGGGGAAAGCGGGGGAUUCGAAAGAACCUCGCGCGAGAGGAGCGGCCGAUGUCCGAUUAGCUAGUUGGCGGGAUAACAGCCCACCAAGGCAACGAUCGGUAGCUGGUCUGAGAGGAUGAUCAGCCACACUGGGACUGAGACACGGCCCAGACUCCUACGGGAGGCAGCAGUGGGGAAUUUUGGACAAUGGGGGCAACCCUGAUCCAGCCAUGCCGCGUGUGUGAAGAAGGCCUUCGGGUUGUAAAGCACUUUCGGGCGGAACGAAAUCGCACGGGUUAAUACCACGUGUGGAUGACGGUACCGCAAGAAGAAGCACCGGCUAAUUACGUGCCAGCAGCCGCGGUAAUACGUAGGGUGCGAGCGUUAAUCGGAAUUACUGGGCGUAAAGCGUGCGCAGGCGGUUACGCAAGUCAGGUGUGAAAGCCCCGAGCUUAACUUGGGAAUGGCAUUUGAAACUACGUGACUGGAGUGUGGCAGAGGGAGGUGGAAUUCCACGUGUAGCGG